rnacentral:lncRNA from 1 species
UUUUGUUUGAAGUUACAAAGGUUUCCUUCUUACACUGCCUCAAUGCAUAGUUCUGAUCAAGAACAGAAACAAAAAUCUUCCCACCAUUUUCUUUUAUAUAUUAUCUAUGUAUUACCAAGAAAUAUCUAGUGCUCAACAGAAAUCAAUUAAUUUACAUGAGUUAUUCAAAAAUGGAAUUUUGGUAAUUUUGCAGGUUAGCUACACCAUUUGCAUCUUCUCCCCCUUCUGCAGGAGCGUUUCCUUCUUCUUCUAUAGCUUCUUCAGCAACAGCUGAGUCUUCGCCUUGCACCACAUCUUGUAUCUGUUGAAAACCACCAGCAGCAGAAGCACAGCCUGGAUUCAGAUAGAGGACUCCUCAGCCCUGAAUGAUGGAGGUGGAAAUGCUACUUUCCGUCCACGAUUAGGAUGUGAUAGCAUGUGGCUAAAUAAACAUUGAAGAGCUUGAGACGACUUGGCUUGGAAGAUGAAGAUAUCAUUGAUGUUAAGGCUCGUCAAAGUAGAGGUUGCCAGCUAGAUGGCAUCAACAACACAUCGAAAUAUGGUUCAUCAUUGAGUACCUUUAAGUAAAUGCUUAGCCUCCCGUUUAAAAGUUACUUAGCCUCUGUUUAAAAAUAUUUUUUUUAAACGGUUUAAUUUAUAAAUAAAUAGAAAUGAGUGGCGGGUAAGUUGAUAGUACUUGUAAGUCCAAUGGAAUAUGUGGUUGAAAAUGAAAUUUGACAAUUUACAAAUUAGCAAAACAGAGACUUAAUUUAGAUGUUUAUUGUAGAUUGCCUAACAAGGAAAGUCUGAAGCACUGGUCAGUUUAGCAAAAUAAAUUUUACAAAAUUAUUUUUCCCAUUAUAUUGAACCAAAUGUCAUUCAUG